UUAAGCAUAUCACUCAGUGGAGGAGCAGCAAGAAACCUCGAUGGCUGCAGUAAUGGCGAAUGAACUGGCAACACAGUGGCUCAACCCGAACCUGAAUCCCAGAACCGCAUCCUUCACGCAAGGUGCGUUCGGCUUCCGCGGGUGUUCAGCUGAUGCUGUGGGCAGAAGGAGCGGGUGGCUGUGUCCUCGGGUGGCUGUCGCACCAGGAAGGGUCCUGGAAUGGCCCAUCACAGAGGGAAACUAUCCCCUACACUGGCCUGUGUGUGGCGGCUGCCUGGGACUGGCCGUCCGUAUCCCGGAGUAGAGUGGCUUGGGACUGCAGUUUGAAGCGCCAGGUGUAUCCCUGGCAAGGCAGAACACUCGGCGUGAGACCGAUAGCGCACAAGUAGAGUGAUUGAAGGAUGCAAAGGACUUUGCAAAGAGGGUUAAAAGUCCCUGAAGCCACGGCAGGGACAGCGGAGCGUGGUGCUGUGGAUCGACGGGCCCAACACGCCUGAGGAAGGAGAGAACCCCGUCGUCGAGGCCCGCACACAGCACCGAACAGGGAGAAACCCACAACUCCCCGAGCGGGACAACGGACGCGUGCAUAUUUGAGGGUGAGCUGGACACCCCGCCGGUAUCGCAGGGAGAGAGGUGCUGGAUCUCGGGGGCAACCCCGAGGUCGAGGAGGACGGAGUGAUGGUUCCCCAGGUGCCCCACCUGGCCCCAGGCGGCCCAAGGGUAACUCCCUGUCGAGGUCCUGGGCUCUGUGCCAGUGGGGUGACAGGGGGCUCCCACCGAUCCGAAGUCAAAGGUCCACACACCGCGUACCGCGCGGGGGCUCGGCGAGAGUCCCCCCACGCCUCGAACGAGAGGGAGAACCGAACCGGCUGGCUGUGUGUGUGGUGCAAGGGGCCCAUGCCCCGCUCGCGAACGGCAGGCUAACCGUCGCAGAUGUCCCAGGCAACCUUGGGCCGGCCCAUGGCUGGUCCCUGAGCCCUUCCCCCAUGGGAAGGACCGUAGUCGCGGCAGCAAUGUGGUGGCACCCUGCCUGUCAGGGCCCGAGGCUUGUCAGUGUUUCGAUUGGUGCUGUGGUACUGUAGGCCCUCCCCACGCGUUGGGAGAGAGAGGGCCCGCAGCGGACAAAGGCUGGAGAGAAGCAUGCUUGAACCGAGGGGACAAGACGUUGGCCCCCCCUCGGUCCCCCAACACGCACGCCCAGUGUGUGGCUGGUGGGAGAGAGGUGUGGUGUGCGGGUGAAUGGCUGCUGGAGACUCUGUGGUGGUGUCUGCGGGAGACGGGCUGCCCACGCGGCGGCCGCUCCCCCGGACGGACUGGUGGAAACCUGGCUGUGUCCCAGGGGUGGUAGCUGUGGGAACCGGUCUGCGAUUCGAUCCUUCCUCCUCCCGCCCCGACGCUCCCCGAAGAGGCAGAAGUGUGAGAUCCCUCCGUCGAGGCCCUGCCGAAGGGGGGCUCGGGGCCAGGAGACCCGGUGACCAACGCCGCGCCUGAACCCUGUGAAGCCCCGUCGCACGACCCUGUGGAAACCAAGGAGCCAAACCGAGAGAGAGAGCCUGUGAGAUCCUGCCGGAAACCUUCGCACACCACCCCCAGUGGGGGACCGAGAGGAGAGAGGGGAGGCCCGCGUCCGUCCCAGCGCGGUAGUGUGAGACUGUGAGGGGGUCCUGUGGGACCCCGCCCGGAACCAUCCGGGCCCUGGUGUGCCUUCGGGCGGACCAGUGACCCUGUGACUCAUGGCCCCGAGGCCCGGGUGGCCGUCGUGGGUGGCUGCACCAGUUCCGAUGGUGGCCCCCGCACGGCCCGCCUGCCUCCCAGAUGUCGCAGGGUGUGAGUGAGCAACGCAGAAGGGCUUGGGUUGGCCAGGGCCACCCUCUGCCCGUCUUGAAACACGGAUCAAGGAGUCUAUGGAGCCUGCAGGUUGUCUGGUGUGAUCAACAAAACCACAGGGCAUGGUGAAGGCAACAAACCCAGCCCAGAUGGUGCACGAUACACACCCCCACACGGAGAGAGCGCGCGUAUCCCGGGAGAGCAACGGAGCGCCACCGGCGGAGGAUGAGAGAGAUGCUGCAGGGGCCACCAGUCCCGCAGUCCAUCGGACAGGGUUCUGAGUGCUUGCCAGGUCCAUGGGACCCGAAAGGUGGUGAACUAUACCGUUCCACGAUGAAGCCAUGGGAAACUGUGGUGGAGGUCGGUCGCUGUUCUGACGUGCAAAUUGUGUAGCCUGAGUGCGGCAUAGGGGUGAAAGGCCAAUCGAGCCACCUAGUAGCUGGUUUCCUCUGAAGUUUCCCUCAGGAUAGCUGGGCUCCACCGAGCAGCACACACGAACGCAAAACACUUGGAUCGAGCCAGAGAGUGGUUAUGUCCGGUAAAGCAACGCACGAGAGGCAAACCCCGGGAGGCCUUCCUCCUGGACCUAUUCUCGAACUGUGAAUGGGCAUGGAUGACCACCGAAAGGCAUGCUCCUUCACCGAGGCCUGAGUCCGCCCGGCCCGUCCGGGACCGGUUCUCGCCGGCUUCUGAGCAUGUUUCCGUGGGCAGACAGCCGUCGCGUCCCCUCGGGGGACACCACCACCACGCGCCUCCAGUCGCCACCAACGUUUCGGCCUGUGCCCCUCCGUGGGGCCCCGCCGGGACAAAGGCGUUGGGCUGGGCGGGGGCGUGCGUGCGUGCGCCACCGGGGGGAAUGCGUGACACCCACGCGGCACCACCACGCCGCCUCCAAGGGAGAGAGAGAGACGGCCGUCGGCCUGUGCAUUUUGAACAGAGGUGCCUAUGUGGGCCAUCAUUGGUAAGCAGUGCUGGCGAUGCGGGAUGCUCCGAGAGUGGACUUAUGGAUCCAGAGUGCUGGCUCAUACCCAGAUCCCACAAAGGAUGUUGCCUGCUAGGGAUAGCAGGACGGUGGCCAUGAAGGUUGGAAUCCGCUAAGGAAUGUGUAACAACUCACCUGCCGAAGCGGGCAGCUCCGAAAACGGAUGGUGCCCAAGUCAGUGAAGCAGAAUUCGUCCCACAGUCCACCGCCCCCGCGGUGGCAAGGUCUUGUUUGGCAGAGCGUUGGCAGUGUAAGUGGACACAGGGGCCCGCCGCCCCCGUUGGGGUUGCCCCCCACCGGAGCGGCCCCUGGCGCAGAUCUUGGUUGCAGUAGCGAGUACUCCAUCGGGUGAAGAGCUGGAACAGCCCACGCUGUGUGCGGUUGAGGACUGGAGUGGAGCAGGUUUCCGCACCAAACAGCCGUUGAAUGCGGGUCAGCCGACCGUGAGCCAAGUGGUAAAGGCACCAAGCAACCAAAGCUGCAUCGGGGGUUCCAUCCUCCCCACCGGAUCGACGGCCCGCGCACGCCCCCGCAGGCAACACCGGCACGUUUCCUCCACCGCUCCCCGCGCGUGAUCGUCCCUGGGUGUGCUGUGUGGGGCUGCCGCAGGGCAGGGAGGGUUGUGUGUGACACACCCCCCGUCGUCGUCCGGGCUCCGUGGGAGGCCCACCCGCAGGAAUGGCAAACAGGCAAGCAAGUGCAACCUUCUGCUGUGCUGGGAUUGGGGCAGACCGGGAUGGUAACAUCUCAGAAUGCGUGCACGCGGGACGCAGGGGCAGUGCUCCCCCCGAGGAGUUCUCGUUUCCUCCUGAUGCAGGCUCAUGUGGGCUAUGGAUUGGCACGACAGGUGGUGGCGUAGGCCCUCCGCCCAGCAAGGCAGUGCAGUCUCCGCACUGGUGGUCUCGGCUCGAGGCGGGUCUCAGUGCCCCAACCAGGCAGCCCCGACCCCACACCACACACCGAGAGAGAGAGAGAGAGAGAGAGGGAAGGGAGGUCGGCUCGCCUCUCCCCACGCGGUACGUCACUGGCUCCAAUGAACGGCCCGCGGGCCCGAUCGUGCCUCUGGUCCCUGGGCCUCGUACUGAAUCACCGCAGCCGGUCUCCUCGGCCAAACACCGCUUGUCCACGGACGCAAUGCAGCUAAGGGAAGUCGGCAAACUGGAUGUGUACCCUUGGAAGAUACAUUGGCUCCAGAGGCCAAGUCCCGGGGUCCGGUCGUGGGCCGGGCGGUCGUGGAGGCAGCCCCGACCCCCGCUGGUGUCUCCGGGCAUCGGUGGGGGCCACAUGCGGGCUCCGCCCUCACCCGCCCGGUUCUUCUCCGUGGCCGGGGGCCUCGUCGGUGGCACCACGCCGCCGGCGGGAUCCGCCCCCGGGACUGCCUGGUGGCUCACUUGGAACUGUUGCUGUGCAGGGGAAUCUGACUGUUUAAUUGAAACACAGCUUUGUGAAAGGACCGGAGGGCUGAUGCCACAAGGUGACUUCUGCCCAGUGCUCUGAUUGUCAAUGCGAAGAGAUCCAGCCAAGCGCGGGUAAACGGCGGGAGUAACUAUGACUCUCUUAAGGUAGCCAAAUGCCUCGUCAACCAAUUAUUGACGCGCAUGAAUGGAUCAACGAGAUUCCUGCUGUCCCUAGGUGCCGUCUGGUGAACCAACAGCCAAGGGAACGGGCUUGGGUGUGUCCGCGGGGAAAGAAGAGCCUGUUGAGA
rnacentral:rRNA from 1 species